CAUAAAAGCCAAGUCAUGCUCGCUCUCGUGGCUAAAGCCUCCUCCGAUCUGGCCCACUAUCCCUCUCGCCCACCACUCCCCCAUCGCCGUCGCCGCGCACAUCGCCGAAAAUUUCACGCCGUAGCUUCGAUGAUCUUCCACGACCGCAGGAGACGGGAACCAAAUCGCGGACGACAAACUGCUCCCCCGCCCCAAAAUUCUGAACACCAAACAAUUCAAUUCCCUCUUUUUUUGAAUAAAUUCAGCUAAAUGUUAGCUCAAGGCCACACUUUUGGAGCCGAAUGAUUCUCUCCAAACCGUUCGAAUGGAGAACUCCGACGAUAAGGCCUUGGGCUUCCUUAGCAUUCAAACCGGAGAUAGCAAGGAAAAAUUAUUAAGAGAAAAGAAAUUCUUAUUGUUUCUUUCCGAUUCCGUCGUGGGGGACGGUGGAAGAUUGACGGAGGAGGAGCAAUUGAAGUGAAUUAUAACACAAAGAAGAAGAAGAAGAAGAAGAAGAAGAAGAAG
rnacentral:lncRNA from 1 species